rnacentral:rRNA from 1 species
UACGUAGGGUGCAAGCGUUGUCCGGAAUUAUUGGGCGUAAAGAGCUCGUAGGCGGUUUGUCGCGUCUGCUGUGAAAACUCAGGGCUUAACUCUGAGCUUGCAGUGGGUACGGGCAGACUAGAGUGCGGUAGGGGAGACUGGAAUUCCUGGUGUAGCGGUGAAAUGCGCAGAUAUCGGGGAGGAACACCUGUGGCGAAAGCGGCUCACUGGACCACAACUGGACGACGUGAGGCGGCGAAAAGCUGAGGG